GGGCUGGCAUUAGCUCAAGUGGUUACUUCGGCACGAUGGACUUUUCAUCCAUCUAAUCCCUGCACUGGGGUUCGAGACCCGAUAGUGCUUUCUGACCCUUUA
ensembl:misc_RNA Vault Vault RNA